rnacentral:rRNA from 1 species
UUCUUGGUCAUUUAGAGGAAGUAAAAGUCGUAACAAGGUUUCCGUAGGUGAACCUGCGGAAGGAUCAUUAAAGAAAUUUAAUAAUUUUGAAAAUGGAUUUUUUUGUUUUGGCAAGAGCAUGAGAGCUUUUACUGGGCAAGAAGACAAGAGACGGAGAGUCGAGCCGGGCCUGCGCUUAAGUGCGCGGUCUUGCUAGGCUUGUAAGUUUCUUUCUUGCUAUUCCAAACGGUGAGAGAUUUCUGUGCUUUUGUUAUAGGACAAUUAAAACCGUUUCAAUACAACACACUGUGGAGUUUUCAUAUCUUUGCAACUUUUUCUUUGGGCAUUCGAGCAAUCGGGGCCCAGAGGUAACAAACACAAACAAUUUUAUCUAUUCAUUAAAUUUUUGUCAAAAACAAGAAUUUUCGUAACUGGAAAUUUUAAAAUAUUAAAAACUUUCAACAACGGAUCUCUUGGUUCUCGCAUCGAUGAAGAACGCAGCGAAAUGCGAUACGUAAUGUGAAUUGCAGAAUUCCGUGAAUCAUCGAAUCUUUGAACGCACAUUGCGCCCCUUGGUAUUCCAGGGGGCAUGCCUGUUUGAGCGUCAUUUCCUUCUCAAACAUUCUGUUUGGUAGUGAGUGAUACUCUUUGGAGUUAACUUGAAAUUGCUGGCCUUUUCAUUGGAUGUUUUUUUUCCAAAGAGAGGUUUCUCUGCGUGCUUGAGGUAUAAUGCAAGUACGGUCGUUUUAGGUUUUACCAACUGCGGCUAAUCUUUUUUUAUACUGAGCGUAUUGGAACGUUAUCGAUAAGAAGAGAGCGUCUAGGCGAACAAUGUUCUUAAAGUUUGACCUCAAAUCAGGUAGGAGUACCCGCUGAACUUAAGCAUAUCAAUAAGCGGAGGAA